GACGAACGCUGGCGGCGUGCUUAACACAUGCAAGUCGAACGAAGUGGCGAAAGGGUGAGUAACGCGUACUCAACCUGCCCUUCAGAGGGGGACAACAGUUGGAAACGAAUGCUAAUACCGCAUACUGAAGGAGGGGAUUGCGUAUGAUUAGCUAGUUGGAGGGGUAACGGCCCACCAAGGCGAGGAUCAGUGGCCGGGCUGAUAGGAUGAACGUCCACCUUGUGACUGAGACACGGCCCAGACGCCUACGGGAGGCAGCAGUGGGGAAUCUUCCGCAAUGGACGAAAGUCUGACGGAGCAACGCCGCGUGAGUGAUGACGGCCUUCGGGUUGUAAAGCUCUGUUAAUCGGGACGCGGUACCGGAAUAGAAAGCCACGGCUAACUACGUGCCAGCAGCCGCGGUAAUAC
rnacentral:rRNA from 1 species